rnacentral:rRNA from 1 species
UACGUAGGGUGCAAGCGUUAAUCGGAAUUACUGGGCGUAAAGCGUGCGCAGGCGGCUUUGCAAGACAGAUGUGAAAUCCCCGGGCUCAACCUGGGAACUGCAUUUGUGACUGCACGGCUCGAGUGCGGCAGAGGGGGAUGGAAUUCCGCGUGUAGCAGUGAAAUGCGUAGAUAUGCGGAGGAACACCGAUGGCGAAGGCAAUCCCCUGGGCCUGCACUGACGCUCAUGCACGAAAGCGUGGGGAGCAAACAGG